CUCUGAUUUCUGCUUUCAUUUUCUGAAAGUCUUGAAUAUCAGACGAUCAGUUUUAUGAAAAGAAUGUACAAAGAGCAAAUCAGCAGAAUCUGAUCCUCAUCUUUAAGACGUUCUAUUCCAGAUGAAGAGUAACUAGAAAAAAUAUGUAUCUCUGAACAUUAGAAUCACACUCAGCCUGAUGAGAUGCUCACACCGAGGAAUACCGGAAGUGAGACUGACUAAACGGACCUGAGGUAGAGGACAGGCAUAAAACUGCCUGCCCUUGUUUUCCCCAUCCUUCCCCACAACUCGGAGAAUGCAGAGGCGGUUGUGUUUACUGCAGCGAGGGCUGUCAGGAUUUAAGGAUUAUUUCGAGGAUUAAAACAAACAAAAGUGAAAUGACUCAUUCUGGACGGCCCCAGGUGGUUCUGAAAUCCUGAGACUGAAAACUCCAAGAAGCAACCAAGAGACAAGGACAUGGUGUCAGUACUUGCACUGGUGAUUAAAGACAGAUCUUCAACAUCCCUGACGGCAGCAAAUAUGUCUAUGAUAGUAACACGGGGUGAAGCGGCUGAGUGGAAGAAGAUAUAGAGUGCUGUAGAGAAAAGUAUUGGAGAACAAGAAGAGUGAUGCAGAAAAUGAAACGCAGGGACACAAAGAAAAAGCACGCAGUUCUGGACAUAUUUAUGAAGACUUAAGCUGGGACUUCCUCUGCACACCAGCUCCCUCCCCUGCCCCCAGCUCUACAGACAUGACCGCACUUCCCACCUCCCGGGUUUCCCACAGCCGAGUGGUGCCCUGAGUCUCUUCCUAUGUCCAAUCCUAUGGUUUUGUUUCCUUUGCUUUUUCUUUCCUGCCCACUUUGUAGUUAUAGGUAUUUGCUGAAGCUCAGACCUUGGCUCAUUUCCUUUCUCAUUCUUACUGAACUGAGAAGUUGGAAUGCUUCAAUCAACAGCACUGUGCCGACAGCCUCUCUCAUCCUGGAUCGCAGCCCCUAAGACAUGUCUUCCUGGAUAUUCCAGGGUUCUUUCACAUAUCUAACACAUACUGCAUCUUCACUGCUGCAUCCCAAUUUUCCCAGACCCACAAUGUGAAAAUUUUUAUUAUUUGGUCCUGAAACCUUUUGCAUCAUCCUACCUAUCAAAUCUGC
rnacentral:lncRNA from 10 species